UGGGGAAUCUUGCACAAUGGGGGCAACCCUGAUGCAGCGACGCCGCGUGAGCGAUGAAGCCCUUCGGGGUGUAAAGCUCUUUCGGCAGGGACGAUAAUGACGGUACCUGCAGAAGCAGCUGCGGCUAACUACGUGCCAGCAGCCGCGGUAAUACGUAGGCAGCGAGCGUUGUUCGGAGUUACUGGGCGUAAAGGGUGCGUAGGCGGCCGAUUAAGUUUGUCGUGAAAUCUCCCGGCUUAACUGGGAGGGUGCGGCGAGUACUGACCGGCUAGAGUGUGGGAGAGGAGAGUGGAAUUCCUGGUGUAGCGGUGAAAUGCGUAGAUAUCAGGAGGAACACCGGCGGUGUAGACGGCUCUCUAGACCAUAACUGACGCUGAGGCACGAAAGCGUGGGUAGCAAACAGG
rnacentral:rRNA from 1 species